rnacentral:rRNA from 1 species
CCUACGUGUGACAGCAGUGAGGAAUAUUGGUCAAUGGCCGGAAGGCUGAACCAGCCAUGCCGCGUGAAGGUCAGUGCCCUAUGGGCGUUAAACUUCUUUUGUGCGGGAGCAAUAAUGGUCACGUGUGGCCAGACGAGAGUACCGUACGAAUAAGCAUCGGCUAACUCCGUGCCAGCAGCCGCGGUAAUACGUGGGAUGGAAGCGUUAUCCGGAUUUAUGGGGUUUAAAGGGUGCGUAGGCGGGGAGGUAAGUCAGCGGUGAAAUGCCACCGCUCAACGGGGUGGAGUGCCAUUGAUACUGCCUUGCUGGAAUGCGGAUGCCGUGGGAGGAAUGUGUGGUGUAGCGGUGAAAUGCAUAGAUAUCACACAGAACACCGAUUGCGAAGGCAUCUCACGAAUCCGCGAUUGACGCUGAUGCACGAAAGCGUGGGUAUCAAACAGGAUUAGAUACCCCAGUAGUC